CCUACGGGUGGCAGCAGUGGGGAAUAUUGGACAAUGGGCGAAAGCCUGAUCCAGCCAUGCCGCGUGUGUGAAGAAGGCCUUCGGGUUGUAAAGCACUUUCAGUGGGGAAGAAAGCCUUGGGGCUAAUACCCUCGAGGAAGGACAUCACCCACAGAAGAAGCACCGGCUAACUCCGUGCCAGCAGCCGCGGUAAUACGGAGGGUGCGGGCGUUAAUCGGAAUUACUGGGCGUAAAGCGCGCGUAGGCGGUCUGAUAAGCCGGUUGUGAAAGCCCCGGGCUCAACCUGGGAACGGCAUCCGGAACUGUCAGGCUAGAGUGCAGGAGAGGAAGGUAGAAUUCCCGGUGUAGCGGUGAAAUGCGUAGAGAUCGGGAGGAAUACCAGUGGCGAAGGCGGCCUUCUGGACUGACACUGACGCUGAGGUGCGAAAGCGUGGGUAGCAAACAGGAUUAGAUACCCGAGUAGUC
rnacentral:rRNA from 1 species